GACGUAGGGCGCGAGCGUUGUCCGGAUUUAUUGGGCGUAAAGAGCUCGUAGGCGGCUUGUCGCGUCGACUGUGAAAACUCGGGGCUCAACUCCGAGCUUGCAGUCGAUACGGGCAGGCUAGAGUUCGGUAGGGGAGACUGGAAUUCCUGGUGUAGCGGUGAAAUGCGUAGAUAUCAAGAGGAACACCUGAGGUGAAGACGGGUUGCUGGGCCGACACUGACGCUGAGUGCGCGAAAGCCAGGGGAGCAAACGGG
rnacentral:rRNA from 1 species